rnacentral:tRNA from 1 species
GCCCAUUUGGAGCAGUGGUUAGCUCGCUCGUCUCCGGUGUCUGUACUCCUGGAUAGCGAGAUGUCAGGGGUUCGAAUCCCCUAAUGGGUG